GCUAYCACUUACAGAUGGACCCGCGGCGCAUUAGCUAGUUGGUGAGGUAACGGCUCACCAAGGCRACGAUGCGUAGCCGACCUGAGAGGGUGAUCGGCCACACUGGGACUGAGACACGGCCCAGACUCCUACGGGAGGCAGCAGUAGGGAAUCUUCCGCAAUGGACGAAAGUCUGACGGAGCAACGCCGCGUGAGUGAUGAAGGUUUUCGGAUCGUAAAACUCUGUUGUUAGGGAAGAACAAGUACCGUUCGAAUAGGGCGGUACCUKACGGUACCUAACCAGAAAGC
rnacentral:rRNA from 1 species